AUUGAACGCUGGCGGCAUGCCUUACACAUGCAAGUCGAACGGUAACAGGUCUUCGGAUGCUGACGAGUGGCGAACGGGUGAGUAAUACAUCGGAACGUGCCCGAGAGUGGGGGAUAACGAGGCGAAAGCCUUGCUAAUACCGCAUACGAUCUCAGGAUGAAAGCAGGGGGCCGCAAGGCCUUUCGCGCACGGCGCGGACGAUGGCAGAUUAGGUAGUUGGUGGGAUAAAAGCCUACCAAGCCGACGAUCUGUAGCUGGUCUGAGAGGACGACCAGCCACACUGGGACUGAGACACGGCCCAGACUCCUACGGGAGGCAGCAGUGGGGAAUUUUGGACAAUGGGCGCAAGCCUGAUCCAGCCAUGCCGCGUGCAGGAUGAAGGCCUUCGGGUUGUAAACUGCUUUUGUACGGAACGAAAAGACUCUGGUUAAUACCUGGGGUCCAUGACGGCACCGUAAGAAUAAGCACCGGCUAACUACGUGCCAGCCGCCGCCGUAAGAC
rnacentral:rRNA from 1 species